CCUGGCUCAGAACGAACGCUGGCGGCAGGCUUAACACAUGCAAGUCGAACGCACCGCAAGGUGAGUGGCAGACGGGUGAGUAACGCGUGGGAACCUUCCCUUUGGUACGGAAUAACUUCGGGAAACCGAAGCUAAUACCGUAUAUCUCCUCCGGGAGAAAGAUUUAUCGCCAAAGGAUGGGCCCGCGUUGGAUUAGCUAGUUGGUAGGGUAAGGCCUACCAAGGCAACGAUCCAUAGCUGGUCUGAGAGGAUGAUCAGCCACACUGGGACUGAGACACGGCCCAGACUCCUACGGGAGGCAGCAGUGGGGAAUAUUGGACAAUGGGCGAAAGCCUGAUCCAGCCAUGCCGCGUGAGUGAAGAAGGCCUUAGGGUUGUAAAGCUCUUUGGCGGGGACGAUAAUGACGGUACCCGCAGAAUAAGCCCCGGCUAACUUCGUGCCAGCCGCUGC
rnacentral:rRNA from 1 species